rnacentral:rRNA from 1 species
CCNCUUGACAUUACCAUCGCGAUUUCCGGAGACGGAUUUNUUNNNNNUNNGGCUGGAUGGAUAACAGGUGCUGCAUGGCUGUCGUCAGCUCGUGUCGUGAGAUGUUGGGUUAAGUCCCGCAACGAGCGCAACCCUCGCCUUUAGUUGCCAGCAGUUCGGCUGGGCACUCUAGAGGAACCGCCGGUGAUAAGCCGGAGGAAGGUGGGGAUGACGUCAAGUCCUCAUGGCCCUUACGUGGUGGGCUACACACGUGCUACAAUGGCAGUGACAAUGGGUUAAUCCCAAAAAGCUGUCUCAGUUCGGAUUGUCGGCUGCAACUCGCCGGCAUGAAGUUGGAAUUGCUAGUAAUCGCGUAACAGCAUGACGCGGUGAAUACGUUCCCGGGCCUUGUACACACCGCCCGUCACACCAUGGGAGUUGGUUCUACCCGAAGAUCGUGCGCUAACCCUCGGNA